AACGAACGGUAGCGGCGUGGAUUAGGCAUGCAAGUCGUACGAGAUCCUUGCUUCGGUGAGGUGAAAGUGGCGAAAGGGUGAGUAAUGCAUAGACAACCUACCCCCGACUUCCUGGGAUAACUGAGAGAAAUUUCAGCUAAUACCGGAUAGGUUCGUUGGGCCGCAUGGCCUGGCGAUUAAAGAUGGCCUCUGAAUAUGCUUUCGGUUGGGGACGGGUCUAUGUCCUAUCAGCUUGUUGGUGGGGUAACGGCCUACCAAAGCGACGACGGGUAGCCGACCUGAGAGGGUGACCGGCCACACUGGGACUGAGACACUGCCCAG
rnacentral:rRNA from 1 species